GGCCUGCCUAAUUUUUGUGAAAUUUGUUGAAAAAUAGCGCCCUUUCCAUUCCGCCAUUUCGCAUCCCGACUUAUCUCCUUCAUCACCAAAAACGCUAGAAACCCUAGUCAGAUCAUUUCAUCCUUCCCGGUUCCCACCAAUACCGUAGCAAAAUCAAUGUCGUCUCUCCUUUUCCGAACUCCUAAUUAAUGCCUUCACUUCUCUCGUACGGGGCCAAACACGGUGAAAAUUGAAAAAUCUCGAGUCAUCAUUAUCUCUUCUCCUUACCACCACCGGACCACCAUCAAAAAAGCACUACGACCUCUCUUCCGCCGCGCUUCAAUUGGCCAACAAUUGACCAUGCAUACUAAUUCAGAGACACCAGAGGUGUAUCUUGCUACAACUUCAUUUUUAGUAGGAACAUUCAUCACUUGCCAAAUGCUUGUAGUGAGAAAAGGAUAUAAGAUGGUUUCCAACAGCAGCAACAACAAUCACUGCCACAUCUAGUGCAGAGCCUUUAAGAAGAGGCUUAAAAACUAUUUCUUGAAGAAGGAAAGAGAUCCACUUGAUACCCACCUACUACAUCUGGAUAGGGCUACAAUGCAAAACUUCAAGGAGAGGGUAUCGUUAUAGGAAUCGUAAAAAGGGCGAGCUUAAAGCUUCUAAAGAAUCCUGCCAUACUAGGGGCACAUGGGUAUCGGGGCAAGAAACCUUAGUGGGAACAAGAGAUUGCAACAUCCUACUUUUAAUGAUAUAUGUGAUAAUAGAAGAUAUAACUGCUAUGCUCGAUGUUUGGGAUGAUGGGAUCAUGGUGAUGUUCUUUCUUUAAUACAAGUUUUGUGAUGUAGUAACAACUUACCUAAUUAAUGUUUUUUUUUUUUAUAUUUUUUUGUAAGAGAUGUUCUUUUGUUAAUAUUGUUUUUAUUAAUGCCUGUUAUGGUUAUGUACUUGUUUUAUUUGGCAUGUCCACAUUUACAAAAUAUUUCAUC